AUUCCAGCUCCAAUAGCGUAUAUUAAAGUUGUUGCAGUUAAAAAGCUCGUAGUUGGAUUUCUGUUCUCGAGGAUCGGUCCGCCUCACGGUGAGCACUGGUUUUUCUUGGGGACAUCCUCUCGAAGGCGGGUGGUGCACUUGAUUGUGUGCUGCUUGGAUUCGGGACCUUUACUUUGAAAAAAUUAGAGUGUUCAAAGCAGGCGUCGGCUUGAAUACAUUAGCAUGGAAUAAUGGAAUAGGACUUUGGUUCUAUUUUGUUGGUUUCUAGGACCGAAGUAAUGAUUAAUAGGGACAGUUGGGGGCAUUAGUAUUUAAUUGUCAGAGGUGAAAUUCUUGGAUUUAUGAAAGACUAACUACUGCGAAAGCAUUUGCCAAGGAUGUUUUCAUUA
rnacentral:rRNA from 1 species